AUGGACGAGCUCCUAGAGGAUCCGUUUCCUCGCCUUUUGCCUGAGCUCGUCGAGGAGGUGUUUUUCCGCAUUCCGCCGGACGAGCCCGCCUGUCUCGUCCGUGCCUCCGCCGUCUGCAAGCCCUGGCGCCGCAUCCUCGCCGGUUUGGGCUUUCGCCGCCGCUACCGCAAGUUCCACGGAACACCUCCCGUCCUCGGGCUCUUCCAACACGGCAACUGCCUACUCCGAAAGGGAUCCCGCUUCGUUCCCACCUCCGCCCUCUUCCUUGCCCAGCCUGACGACCGUCCCGAUUGGUUUGCAAUGGACUGCCGCCACGGGCGCGCCCUCUUCGCUCGCAUACGGAAGACCUCUGACCUCAUGGUCUUGGACCCUGUGACGGGCCACCGGCGCCGCGUGCCCUCGACACCCAAGUACCCGCUCAGCUUCAGUGCGGCCGUGCUCUGCGCCGCACAAGGCUGCGACCACCACGGUUGCCAAGGAGGGCAUUUCCGUCUGGCCGUCGUCACCACCAAUCAGCGGCAAGGCGUCACAUCAGGCUGGCUGUACUCAUCGGAGACUCGCGUGUGGAGCGAGCUCACCUCUGUUCACCACCCCAAUGUCAGGUAUACCAAUAACUUUGGUGCGCCCAGCGUCCUUGUGGGCGAUGCACUCUACUUCAACAUUGGUGGCAUCGUGGAGUGCAAACUUGGUACACUCCGCUUGUCAAUAUACGAGAAGCCGAUCGAUCGCGGUGGGCGUCUCAUGACGGUGGAAGAGGGCAGGCUGGGAUUCGCUGCCGUGGUUGAUGUCACAAAUCUAACCCUAUGGUCGUGGGAGACUGGACCCGUGGGAGCCAUCGGAUGGGUAAAACUCAGGGUAAUUGAUCUCAAGACGCUUCUCCCAACAUGUGAAUUUGGGAUUAGGAGCUGGGCAAAUGCAUUGGUGAUCAGUGGCGUCGCGGAGGGCACCCAAGUCAUUUUUGUGAGAGCACGUGUUGGUUCUUAUAUGGUUCAUCUCAAGUCAGGGCGAGUCAGGCCGGUGUGUGCUUCUUCUGACAUAAAAAUCUUUCCCUACGUGAGCUUCUACAUCCCAGCAAUGGAAGCAGCUUGUUUUGGCCAGGGGCAGUGA
rnacentral:rRNA from 1 species